UAAACUCACAAGUAAAAAUAUCAAAAAUGAAUACUCGUAGUUGGGUCUGAGUAGAAAUUUGCUGCGGCAUCCUUUCCUUUUAUAUUUGAAAAACCCCUCAAGUAACGAAUGGUCAUGUGACACGGAUUUAGCGUCGUGAGUGGGUCAGGGAGGUGGCUUUCUUGCACCUGAGCCACCUCGCAACGUAAGUAACGAGUCCGCUAAGGUAACGAUGAGAACGCGUUGUCAGGGUAACUAACUGGGAACCGGGUAAACCCGUAUACACUCCAUCACUUAAUGUAAAUAAAGAUUCGCUCAGAUGUAAACAAAGAUUCAUUCAAAUGUAAACAAAUCUCAGACAUUAUGGGAAAAGGAAGGGAAACAAGUGAGAGAAGACGAUGGAAUAUUUUGGUGAUGUAUCACUCCAUUCAAUUUUAAAAUUAGAGAAAGCAAGAAGAAAUUGGUCAUUUGUUUGCAAAAAUCACGAAAUUAAAUUAUGACAAAACAAUCGCAACCAUCCUGGCUAGCUCAGCGAACAACAUAGUGAAUUGGAGGGAUAAGGUUUUAAGGUGUAUAAUGGUGUGUAACGUACUGUGCUAUACACAGCCCGUUCUGUGGUAUACCAGCAAUUCUAUUCUCUAACACAUCACUUCAAUUCCGGUUUACGUAACUGAUCUUUUCCAGCAAUAUUCAUUGCUGGACUAGAAACACCAAUGAGCGUGGCGUUAUCAAGCUACGGAACUCUACUUCUCUGUUGCUAAACUAUCGACAUGAUAUACUACCAUUUACUAGAAUACUAAUAAAUUCCUUUUGCUAAUA